UCUUACCCUUAACCUUGGGUGGCAGUUUUGGCACUCAGGGACACUAAAGCCUCAGAAACAGAUGUCUUCAUUAGGAUUAAGGACUGUUGUUUCAUAUACCAAUGCCUUCAUUCCUCUCAGGUCACCGCACAUCAUGCUCACAGUAGUUUGACCAACCACCCUCUUGCCAUGUUGCUGUCUGAAGAUCCUAAUUCUGGCCUGCUCCUUGGGUAUCAGCUUGGCCACAGUGCGGUAGAGCAACAAUCAGGUUCUUGGGGUGCCCAAGCACAAGCCUAGGCUCUUAGAUCUGCCCUGGGGCAGAGGGGAGUCCACUAUCCUAAAGAUGUAUCCCAGGCCUGAUAGC
rnacentral:lncRNA from 1 species